rnacentral:misc_RNA from 1 species
GAUGAAGAACGUAGCGAAAUGCGAUACGUAAUGUGAAUUGCAGAAUUCAGUGAAUCAUCGAAUCUUUGAACGCACAUUGCACUCUCUGGUAUUCCGGAGAGUAUGCUUGUUUGAGUAUCUGUAAACAUCUCAAAUCUCUCUUCAAUUGCUUCAAUUGGGUCGAGAGAAUUGGAUUUGAGCGAUCCCGACUCCUUCGUCAGAAAGAGGAGGGUCGCUUGAAAUGCAGGUGCAGCUGGACAUUCUUCUGAGCAAAAAGCAUAUCUAUUUAGUCCCGUCAAACGGAUUAUUACUUUUGCUUCAGCUAAUAUAAAGGUUGAAUGAACUACCAACGCUGAUUGCAGGAAAACAUGUUCGUUUAUUCGGACUUGUAAACUCGAUCUCAAAUCAAGUAAGACUACCCGCUGAACUUAAGCAUAUCAAUAAGCGGAUGA